GACGAACCGUGCGAACGUUAUUCGGAAUCACUGGGCUUAAAGCGCGUGUAGGCGGGCCGCCACGUCAGUCGCUGAAAUCCCCCGGCUCAACCGGGGAAGUGGCACUGAUACGAGCGGCCUGGAGGGAGGUAGGGGGGGCUGGAACUUCCGGUGUAGUGGUGAAAUGCGUAGAUAUCGGGAGGAACACCAGUGGCGAAGGCGGCUUCCUGGCCUGUUCUUGACGCUGAGGCGCGAAAGCUAGGGUAGCAAACGGG
rnacentral:rRNA from 1 species